GUGCCAGCAGCCGCGGUAAUACGUAGGUGGCGAGCGUUGUCCGGAAUUACUGGGUGUAAAGGGCGCGUAGGCGGGUUUGCAAGUCAGAUGUGAAAGCCCAUGGCUCAACCAUGGAACUGCAUCUGAAACUUCAGAUCUUGAGUACUGGAGAGGAAAGCGGAAUUCCUAGUGUAGCGGUGAAAUGCGUAGAGAUUAGGAGGAACACCAGUGGCGAAGGCGGCUUUCUGGACAGAGACUGACGCUGAGGCGCGAAAGCGUGGGGAGCAAACAGGAUUAGAUACCCUGGUAGUCCACGCCGUAAACGAUGGAUACUAGGUGUAGGAGGUAUCGACCCCUUCUGUGCCGGGGUUAACACAAUAAUUAUCCCACCUGGGGAGUACGGCCGCAAGGCUGAAACUCAAAUGAAUUGGCGG
rnacentral:rRNA from 1 species